UUUAUUGAGAGUUUGAUCCUGGCUCAGGAUGAACGCUGGCGGCGUGCUUAACACAUGCAAGUCGAACGGAGUAUAUUUAAAAGCUUGCUUUUGUUUAUACUUAGUGGCG
rnacentral:rRNA from 1 species